rnacentral:lncRNA from 1 species
UUUUUUUUUUUUUUUUUUUAAGGGCCACACCCACAACACAUGGAAGAUCCCAGGCCAGGAAUUGAAUCCAAGCUUCAGCUGUGAUCUACACCACAGCUUCAGCAAUGUGAGAUUCUUAAACCACUAUGCUGGCCUGGGGAUUGAACUUACACCUAUGCAGUGACCUGAGACACAGCACAGUCAGAUUUUUAACACAAUGAGCCACAGUGGGAACCCCUAGGAAUCUGCACUUUUAAAUAAGCAUCCCAGAUAACUCUAAGUAGUCUGAGAAACUUUACAUGUGGAAGAUCAACACUGUCCAGGAAAAACUGUGUGUGCUGUAUGAAGAGUAACAGUAUAUAUAACAGAAUAGCAAGGAUAUUUCUAAACUCAUAAUUUGGGGGGCACAACAAUUUAAUUUGAUUAAUCAGUUUAUAAGUAAUGUUCUUACAAACUGUUAACUCUUUUAAAAUUAGUUUGGAUUUAAUUCUAUCCGUGAUAUAGAGAGAACUUGAAACAUUUAAUUCUGCAUGUUCUAAAAAUGGCCUUGAAAGAUGCUAAAAUUAUAAAUAAUGAUUUAAUUAUAGGAAAUGACUGAGAAUCUGAAAUUUAUAUGAGAAAGAUAGAAAGCAAGAAAUAGGCUUUUUGCUGCAACACUCAGUGCUAAAUGGAAGAAACAGAAGUUCUAAACUUUAAACAAAUUUAAGGAGAGCAUGACAAGAUUAAUAUUCAGUUCAUGGGUGUUUCUGUAACUUUCUAAAGUAGUAAGAGGUAAGAAAACAGGUAAGAAAAAUGAAAGGAAAUAUUAAACUUGGCUCUUCUUACUUCAAAUCCUCAAGUCUAAAAAAAAGCUUAAGAAACACAAUUUUAAUGUAAUUAUGUCUUGGUGGAAAACCAGAGACAACCUGGUGGGGGGUUGAGGUGGGGGGAUAGGAGGCCCCAGGCUCUAUACUUUUAAACCAUUCCUUCAUUUUUGUUGAAUUACACAUCUUUUAUUUCUAAUAUGUAUUUGUUGUGAAGAAAAGAGGGCCAAGUUUUCGGCUGAGGGCUUAUUCCUCUUCCUCAGAAUGCAAGAAAAACACAGAAAGAGGAAAAUUAUGACCUAAUGCAAAAUUUCCUUCAAGGCAACUAUGUUUAUUUCAUGGUAGGAAGCAGCUGACAACGAGGUUUGAGUUGCAGGAGAGAAGCAUAUUUGUCUCCCAGCCAAGUGGCUUUAAAUGCCUCUAUCAUCAAAGGAGGAACCAAGCUGCACCUCACAUCUAUGUAACUUAAGCAUAAAGAGGCAAGAAACUUCUCACACAUUAAUUGUCUUCAGUGGAGUUUUCAAAUGAUUAAGCAGUUUGCCUUUAAUGAACAUUUUCAUAGGUUGUCAUUAAGUGUUUUUGUUCUAGAGGAAAGAAUGCACUGUUACUCUGAUAUUAACAUUAUUGCUCUUCCCCCCAACAGAAUCAAGGGUUACUUUGUAUAAACAGAUUUCUAGAACCUUAGGUCUUAUCUGGUAUAAAUAUAAAUUUAAAAAGUUAAUACCGAUUAAUAUCAAAUUUCUUGACAACUUGUAUAUCUGAAUGUGGGUGAAAUACUAUUAUGUCCUUUUUAUUGCAAAACACAAACUUUAAAUUAGCUAUUUACACAAAGAUACAGUGUCACACCACUCUGAGGAAUAAUUGUAUAACAUAAUGCCAGUAAUAUGUUCUUUUAAACAUUUUUUUAAAAUUAAAGUAUAGUUGGUUUAAAUGUUGUGCCAAUUUCUGCUGUACAGAAAAAGUAAUAUGUUCCUUACUGAGGACUUUUAGGAAAGAUAAUUUUGAGAAAAAUGAGUCAGCUUUUUAAAAUGGCUUUUUGUAUGAUUAAAUUCUAUUGAUAUAUUUAAAAAAUUUUUAACAGUAAGUAGCAUUUCCCUCCGUUUAAUGUUAUCACUACAUUACCACCUU